rnacentral:rRNA from 1 species
AGACCGCUGAAACCGCUCAGAGUAUAAGCCAAUGGGGCUCGGAAGGCGAACCGCUGCCAAUUUAUUGGCGGCAUGCAGGACGGUCUGUCAGGCAGUGGCAUUGGGUUGAUAUCACGCUGGCGUACGGGUCUGAUCUGUGUCGUGGACUACGGAGCAGCGGCACAGUGAAGGCUUUGGUAUGGACGUUCUAAGGUUGCAUGUCGAAAGGCGGGACUGCCCACCACGACUCGUUGUGUGGUCACCCACAGGCUCGACUGCCGAUCGCUUGCUCACCCCCGCUUAGCAUUCAUUGUGUCGCAAAUUGGUUCCCACAUGGGUGGGAACCGACACUUCGCGGCGGGGGCAGAAUCAUGUUGAGCAGGGCGGCGACUGAGAUAAACCUGGUAUGAUCCAUGAGCGACGAGUCGCUUUCUGGCCAGAUGUGCGUGCAGGCUUCUUCUCAUUGCCGAGAGUUGCCUCACACCAGGCGGUUUGUGUCCUCUACUGUUAAGAGCUUCGAGCUCUUGCGGCAUGGCCUCUCGCCGCACGUACAUCUGAGUGGUGUUAAGUCCGACACCAUCGGUCACGUCUCGAAACACGGGCCAAGGAGUAUAGCAUGUGUGCAAGUCUAAGGGUCUCACAAAACCCACGGGCGAAGUGAAAGCAAGGUUGUGGCGGGUGAGCCCCUCGAGGCAAAACCCUGUCAGCCAAGGCGAAUGGAGCAAUCCGCUAGCCGAGGCUUAAACAUGAGUUGAUACUACUGAUACGGAUGUGACCUGAGGUAGUCGCAAAACUCCGGGCUCGCAAUCACCACCUGGUCGCUUGCGGCUGUGUGCGAGC